rnacentral:lncRNA from 1 species
CCUUUCCCCUUCUUCUUUAAUCACCACUCUUUCAUCCAACGGCCUAGGUGCCUCUUCACCUUUUGUAUACUUUGCUGGUAAAAUAAACUGCAUCGUCACCAUAUUGUUCUCUCCAUCACCACUCUUAGUCACCACUGGUGCAGUCAUCGCGAUUUUUUCGAACGAUUUGGUGAUUACAGGAGCUGUCAUGGCGAUUUUUUCAGGCGUAGCGUUUUGAGGAUUGCCCAGUGCGCCGAUGUAAUUGGCUAAUAGCAUAAAACCGCCGUCUUUGUUUCCUUUGAAGUGGGUUGGAUCGUAUGUGACUUGUGCUAUAACAGAU